AGAAGGCUAUGUUGGCCGGGCGACGGUUGUCCCGGUUUAAGCGUGUAGGUGUGUGUUCCAGGUAAAUCCGGUUCACUUUAACACUGAGGCGUGACGACGAGGCACUACGGUGCUGAAGCAACAAAUGCCCUGCUUCCAGGAAAAGCCUCUAAGCAUCAGGUAACAUCAAAUCGUACCCCAAACCGACACAGGUGGUCAGGUAGAGAAUACCAAGGCGCUUGAGAGAACUCGGGUGAAGGAACUAGGCAAAAUGGUGCCGUAACUUCGGGAGAAGGCACGCUGACACGUAGGUGAAGUGAUUUACUCACGGAGCUGAAGUCAGUCGAAGAUACCAGCUGGCUGCAACUGUUUAUUAAAAACACAGCACUGUGCAAACACGAAAGUGGACGUAUACGGUGUGACGCCUGCCCGGUGCCGGAAGGUUAAUUGAUGGGGUCAGCGCAAGCGAAGCUCCUGAUCGAAGCCCCGGUAAACGGCGGCCGUAACUAUAACGGUCCUAAGGUAGCGAAAUUCCUUGUCGGGUAAGUUCCGACCUGCACGAAUGGCGUAAUGAUGGCCAGGCUGUCUCCACCCGAGACUCAGUGAAAUUGAACUCGCUGUGAAGAUGCAGUGUACCCGCGGCAAGACGGAAAGACCCCGUGAACCUUUACUAUAGCUUGACACUGAACAUUGAGCCUUGAUGUGUAGGAUAGGUGGGAGGCUUUGAAGUGUGGACGCCAGUCUGCAUGGAGCCGACCUUGAAAUACCACCCUUUAAUGUUUGAUGUUCUAACGUGGACCCGUAAUCCGGGUUGCGGACAGUGUCUGGUGGGUAGUUUGACUGGGGCGGUCUCCUCCUAAAGAGUAACGGAGGAGCACGAAGGUUGGCUAAUCCUGGUCGGACAUCAGGAGGUUAGUGCAAUGGCAUAAGCCAGCUUGACUGCGAGCGUGACGGCGCGAGCAGGUGCGAAAGCAGGUCAUAGUGAUCCGGUGGUUCUGAAUGGAAGGGCCAUCGCUCAACGGAUAAAAGGUACUCCGGGGAUAACAGGCUGAUACCGCCCAAGAGUUCAUAUCGACGGCGGUGUUUGGCACCUCGAUGUCGGCUCAUCACAUCCUGGGGCUGAAGUAGGUCCCAAGGGUAUGGCUGUUCGCCAUUUAAAGUGGUACGCGAGCUGGGUUUAGAACGUCGUGAGACAGUUCGGUCCCUAUCUGCCGUGGGCGCUGGAGAACUGAGGGGGGCUGCUCCUAGUACGAGAGGACCGGAGUGGACGCAUCACUGGUGUUCGGGUUGUCAUGCCAAUGGCACUGCCCGGUAGCUAAAUGCGGAAGAGAUAAGUGCUGAAAGCAUCUAAGCACGAAACUUGCCCCGA
rnacentral:rRNA from 1 species